UAUUUAUCGUAUUUUAAAAUC
rnacentral:piRNA from 1 species